UUAAUUUGACUCAACACGGGGAAACUUACCAGGUCCAGACAUAGCAAGGAUUGACAGACUGAGAGCUCUUUCUUGAUUCUAUGGGUGGUGGUGCAUGGCCGUUCGGACACAGCGCGUGGUGGGCGUUCUUGCUUUAUCAAUGCAGUGCAUCCGAUGCGUAGAUGGCA
rnacentral:rRNA from 16 species